rnacentral:rRNA from 1 species
GCUUCGGUGGUGGAUUAGUGGCGAACGGGUGAGUAACACGUGGGCAAUCUGCCCUUCACUCUGGGACAAGCCCUGGAAACGGGGUCUAAUACCGGAUAAUACUCCUGCCUGCAUGGGUGGGGGUUGAAAGCUCCGGCGGUGAAGGAUGAGCCCGCGGCCUAUCAGCUUGUUGGUGGGGUAAUGGCCUACCAAGGCGACGACGGGUAGCCGGCCUGAGAGGGCGACCGGCCACACUGGGACUGAGACACGGCCCAGACUCCUACGGGAGGCAGCAGUGGGGAAUAUUGCACAAUGGGCGAAAGCCUGAUGCAGCGACGCCGCGUGAGGGAUGACGGCCUUCGGGUUGUAAACCUCUUUCAGCAGGGAAGAAGCGCAAGUGACGGUACCUGCAGAAGAAGCGCCGGCUAACUACGUGCCAGCAGCCGCGGUAAUACGUAGGGCGCAAGCGUUGUCCGGAAUUAUUGGGCGUAAAGAGCUCGUAGGCGGCUUGUCACGUCGGAUGUGAAAGCCCGGGGCUUAACCCCGGGUCUGCAUUCGAUACGGGCUAGCUAGAGUGUGGUAGGGGAGAUCGGAAUUCCUGGUGUAGCGGUGAAAUGCGCAGAUAUCAGGAGGAACACCGGUGGCGAAGGCGGAUCUCUGGGCCAUUACUGACGCUGAGGAGCGAAAGCGUGGGGAGCGAACAGGAUUAGAUACCCUGGUAGUCCACGCCGUAAACGUUGGGAACUAGGUGUUGGCGACAUUCCACGUCGUCGGUGCCGCAGCUAACGCAUUAAGUU